rnacentral:ncRNA from 1 species
ACUAAAUAAAAAUGCGACCUCUCUCUAUGUCAAAAAAGAAGAGAAUAUGGCCGUUCUUAGUUCGUGGAUAUGAUUUGUCUGGUUGAUUCCGAUAACGAGCGAGACUUUUAUGUUAUAUUAAAUAAUAUUAUUAUUAUUUAUUAAUAAUAUUUAUUUUAAUAACAGAUUAAUAGUGUUUAACUAUUUGAGAGAGAGCAAUAACAGGUCUGUGAUGCCCUUAGAUGUCCGGGGCU